CUCAGAUUGAACGCUGGCGGCAGGCCUAACACAUGCAAGUCGAACGGUAGCACAGAGAGCUUGCUCUCGGGUGACGAGUGGCGGACGGGUGAGUAAUGUCUGGGAAACUGCCUGAUGGAGGGGGAUAACUACUGGAAACGGUAGCUAAUACCGCAUAACGUCGCAAGACCAAAGAGGGGGACCUUCGGGCCUCUUGCCAUCAGAUGUGCCCAGAUGGGAUUAGCUAGUAGGUGGGGUAACGGCUCACCUAGGCGACGAUCCCUAGCUGGUCUGAGAGGAUGACCAGCCACACUGGAACUGAGACACGGUCCAGACUCCUACGGGAGGCAGCAGUGGGGAAUAUUGCACAAUGGGCGCAAGCCUGAUGCAGCCAUGCCGCGUGUAUGAAGAAGGCCUUCGGGUUGUAAAGUACUUUCAGCGGGGAGGAAGGCGAUAAGGUUAAUAACCUUGUCGAUUGACGUUACCCGCAGAAGAAGCACCGCCUAACUCCGUGCCAGCAGCCGCGGUAAUACGGAGGGUGCAAGCGUUAAUCGGAAUUACUGGGCGUAAAGCGCACGCAGGCGGUCUGUCAAGUCGGAUGUGAAAUCCCCGGGCUCAACCUGGGAACUGCAUUCGAAACUGGCAGGCUGGAGUCUUGUAGAGGGGGGUAGAAUUCCAGGUGUAGCGGUGAAAUGCGUAGAGAUCUGGAGGAAUACCGGUGGCGAAGGCGGCCCCCUGGACAAAGACUGACGCUCAGGUGCGAAAGCGUGGGGAGCAAACAGGAUUAGAUCACCCUGGUAGUCCACGCUGUAAACGAUGUCGACUUGGAGGUUGUUCCCUUGAGGAGUGGCUUCCGGAGCUAACGCGUUAAGUCGACCGCCUGGGGAGUACGGCCGCAAGGUUAAAACUCAAAUGAAUUGACGGGGGCCCGCACAAGCGGUGGAGCAUGUGGUUUAAUUCCGCGAUGCAACGCGAAGAACCUUACCUACUCUUGACAUCCACGGAACUUAGCAGAGAUGCUUUGGUGCCUUCGGGAACUCUGAGACAGGUGCUGCAUGGCUGUCGUCAGCUCGUGUUGUGAAAUGUUGGGUUAAGUCCCGCAACGAGCGCAACCCUUAUCCUUUGUUGCCAGCGGUCCGGCCGGGAACUCAAAGGAGACUGCCAGUGAUAAACUGGAGGAAGGUGGGGAUGACGUCAAGUCAUCAUGGCCCUUACGAGUAGGGCUACACACGUGCUACAAUGGCAUAUACAAAGAGAAGCGACCUCGCGAGAGCAAGCGGACCUCAUAAAGUAUGUCGUAGUCCGGAUUGGAGUCUGCAACUCGACUCCAUGAAGUCGGAAUCGCUAGUAAUCGUGGAUCAGAAUGCCACGGUGAAUACGUUCCCGGGCCUUGUACACACCGCCCGUCACACCAUGGGAGUGGGUUGCAAAAGAAGUAGGUAGCUUAACCUUCGGGAGGGCGCUUACCACUUUGUGAUUCAUGAC
rnacentral:rRNA from 1 species